GCACGCCUGCCCAGUGAAUAAUUUAACGGCCGCGGUAUCCUAACCGUGCAAAGGUAGCAUAAUCAUUUGUCUAUUAAUUGUAGACCUGUAUGAAAGGCAACAUGAGAGCCAAACUGUCUCUUAUAACAAAUCAAUUAAACUGAUCUCCCAGUACAAAAGCUGAGAUUUAACCACAAGACCAGAAGACCCUGUGAAGCUUUAACUAAACUAUUAACCCAAAUAAUAGCUAGUUUCGGUUGGGGCGACCUUGGAACAAAAAAGAACUUCCAAAACACGCAGCUUCCUGCACCAAAGGCUGACAAGCCGCAUAUAGACCCAGUACAUCUGAUAAAUGAACCAAGUUACUCCAGGGAUAACAGCGCUAUCUUCUUCAAGAGCCCAUAUCAAAAAGAAGGUUUACGACCUCGAUGUUGGAUCAGGACAUCCUAGUGAUGCAACCGUUACUAAGGGUUCGUUUGUUCAACGAUUAAUAGUCCUACGUGAUCUGAG
rnacentral:rRNA from 1 species